GACGAACGCUGGCGGCGUGCUUAACACAUGCAAGUCGAGCGGUAAGGCCCUUUCGGGGGUACACGAGCGGCGAACGGGUGAGUAACACGUGGGUGACCUGCCCUCAGCUCUGGGAUAAGCCCGGGAAACUAGGGUCUAAUACCGGAUAUGACUCCAUGACGCAUGUUGUGGGGUGGAAAGCCUUGUGCGGCUGAGGAUCGGGCCCGCGCUAUCAGCUUGUUGGUGGGGUGAUGGCCUACCAAGGCGACGACGGGUAGCCGGCCUGAGGGGGCGACCGGCCACACUGGGACUGAGAGACGGCCCAGACUCCUACGGGAGGCAGCAGUGGGGAAUCUUGCGCAAUGGGCGAAAGCCUGACGCAGCGACGCCGCGUGAGGGAU
rnacentral:rRNA from 1 species